rnacentral:rRNA from 1 species
GGAAUAACCGUAGUAAUUCUAGAGCUAAUACAUGGGUGGUGCCCGACUUUUGGAGGGCAGUAUUUAUUAGUUUGUCUUGCCUGGGGGUAAUGCCUUUUGGUGAGUGAUGAUAACUGGUCGGAUCGCUUAGCAGUUGCGGCGACGGAUCAAUCAAGUUUCUGCCCUUUUAACUGUCGAUGGCAGGGUAUUGGCCUGCCAUGGUCGCGAUGGGUGCGGAGAAUUGGGGUUCGGUUCCGGAGAGGGAGCGAGCGUAUCGGCUCCCAGUUCUAAGGAUCGCAGCAGGCGCGAAACUUACCCAAUGCAGGCGCUGCGAGGUAGUGACCAUACGUACCAGUGCGGGGCUCUGCUCUGCAACCGGAAUGAGCACACGACAAACAGGAUAGCGAGAACCCAUUGGAGGGCAAGUCUGGUGCCAGCAGCCGCG